rnacentral:rRNA from 2 species
CCUGGCUCAGGAUGAACGCUGGCGGCGUGCCUAACACAUGCAAGUCGAACGGAGUUAAUAAAGUAGAUUACUACAUUAUUAACUUAGUGGCGGACGGGUGAGUAACGCGUGGAUAACCUACCUUACACAGGGGGAUAACACCGAGAAAUCGGUGCUAAUACCGCAUAAGUAAAUAUGUCGCAUGGCAUAGUUAUGAAAGCUGAGGCGGUGUAAGAUGGGUCCGCGUCUGAUUAGCUAGUUGGUGAGAUAAAAGCUCACCAAGGCAACGAUCAGUAGCCGGCUUGAGAGAGUGAACGGCCACACUGGGACUGAGACACGGCCCAGACUCCUACGGGAGGCAGCAGUGGGGAAUAUUGCACAAUGGGGGAAACCCUGAUGCAGCGACGCCGCGUGAAGGAAGAAGGUCUUCGGAUCGUAAACUUCUAUCAGCAGGGAAGAAGGAAGUGACGGUACCUGACUAAGAAGCCCCGGCUAACUACGUGCCAGCAGCCGCGGUAAUACGUAGGGGGCAAGCGUUAUCCGGAAUCACUGGGUGUAAAGGGUGCGUAGGCGGUAGGGCAAGUCAGAUGUGAAAGCCCGGGGCUCAACUCCGGGAUUGCAUUUGAAACUGUCUUACUAGAGUGCAGGAGAGGGAAGCGGAAUUCCUAGUGUAGCGGUGAAAUGCGUAGAUAUUAGGAAGAACACCAGUGGCGAAGGCGGCUUUCUGGACUGUAACUGACGCUGAGGCACGAAAGCGUGGGGGAGCGAACAGGAUUAGAUACCCUGGUAGUCCACGCCGUAAACGAUGAGUGCUAGGUGUUGGGCCCAUAUGGGUUCAGUGCUGAAGUUAACGCAUUAAGCACUCCACCUGGGGAGUACGA